GGAUGAUGGAGUGUUUGAGAGCUUCAAAUGCUGUGACCGGCCAGUGGCCACCAUGUUGGACAGCGCGCUCUCUCCCUCGACCUGGGCGCGCAUAUUACCUGGCUGCCCACUUGAAGGCCGAGGUUUCUGAGGCCCCGCAGACAGGACGUGAGGCCACCUGGGAUGUCAGCUCCACUUCCGGGAGUCGGUGGAGCAAAGAGGGAGAUUGGAACCCGCCACCCGGUGCAAACCCUCUCCUGUGUCCUUCCUUAGCUGCCGCGGGCAUCACACACUCCCCAGCUGACCAGCAGCCAGGGAAGGCGGCUCUGUGUGCUGACCAGGACACAGCUAGUUCGUUUUCAACAAAAAAGGCUUAAAACUGACACAUUUUUACCCUUAAGGGGUCAAAUUUGGUGGUGACGCUAGGUGACAGAGGAUGGGCCUGAAGCCACCAGAAUAGACCCCGAAUGAGGAAUUCACCAAAAUGGACACGUUCCUGGUCCACUUCCAAGCUGAUGUCCCCGGAGGACAGAGCACCGUCUGGGGGCGUCCCCGCCCAGGCCCCGGCUGCUCUCACACACACCCCGCAGCCCCCCAUCCCACCGCGUGUCAGAGCCGCUCGGCACCCAGCCCUCACCCCCAAAGCGGGCAGGGCCCCUGGGGGUGGGGGAAUGGUGUUUCCAGGAAGGGGCCCAGUGACAGCCUGUGUGGCCGGCAAUCCCAUGUCCUGUUGUAGCAGGUUCUGUGGCAUUCUGGGACAUCGCCCCAGGUCUGAAUGGGGUCACUGAGGCUCACUUGCCCUGCGGGGGGAGGCGGCCUCCAGGGCCCGUGCCACGCUCUCCCUCCUCCGAUGUGUGCCGUUUGUUCGGUACGAGAAAAAGCGCAGCCUCGCAUCAAAAAGAUGAAGUCCCAAACUCCCCCGUUCGGCGAGAAGUCUCACCCUGCGACACGGCGGUCGUGUUCUGAUGCGUGCUUCCAUCCGAGGGGCACCUGCGGGGACCUCCCGCUGAUCCUGCGCGCAGCAGGUGUUCUCUUUUGUCGGUUAUUUUUAAAAGCCAGCGUUCACCCUGAGACACGGAGACUCUCCCGGGAGCCACGCCGGGCCAGCGGGGACACAUCAACCACAAACACCCCGACAGGAAAGACGUUGAUCCCAGCCCAGAAAGCCAUGGUACAAAAAAACAAACACAGCCGCCCCCACUCCCUGUCCUGAGUGGCCGCCAGACGCGGAGGUCAAGGUCAAGGUCCUCGGGCUCUCAGUGGCCGAGGUCUGUAUUGUGCCAGCUCUGGCCCCGACUUUAAAGCCCAGAGCCUUCCCCGGGCUCUCAUGUUAUUUUACCACUUUUUACAACACGAAUGAGUUCCCGGCACACUGCCCCUCGCCCUCCCCUCCCCUUCCUGACCCAGAGCCAGAGGCGCUCCCCCCACCCCGAAGGGGCUACAGGCCCGAGUCCCCUCCACACACCCCCCUGGGACAGACCCGCUGGGGAUUCUUAUGUGGGCAGCCCCUGCCCACCUCCCUACCUGCAUCUCCCUUCCUGGGGCCGGGACAUGCUGCUCUCCUGCCCCUGACGUCCCUCCUGUCCACGGAACUCCGGGCCGCACCUGGGGCUCCUCAUUCUGUGCGCGCCCACCCACUCCGUCUCGGUCAAGGGCGCCUCCAUCACCCCCAGCGCUAAGGCCGGCCUCAGGGAGCCCCUCGCAGCCCCUGCCCCCCUCUCCCCGCACCCAAGGCAGCCUCGGGCCCCACAGGCGGCAGCCUGGCUCGUCACGUGUCCCAGACACGCUCACGUUCUGCGCAUUCCCUGUCGCUGCCCCGCCGCCUCACCUCUGGCUGCGGUCGUGCCGCUAGCCUCUCCCUGUCCCCGUCUGCGCAGACGCCCCGCUCCGCUCGCACCCGGCCCACGCUUCCCUCCACAGCGGGCGUCAGCAGGCCACAGCCCCCUUUCCACGCCUGGGCUUCUUUACACGCGGCACCCGGCGCAAGCUUUCCCUGUGAAUCCACGCCCCAAGUCCCUCCGUGUUGCCGUCUGUGUGUGGGGUCCCCUCAGCUCGGACCGCCGUCCCCAGGCCACUUGUGUGAGCCGCUCCUCACUGUCCUCCCCUUCCUCACCCCUGCCCUGACCACGGGCCUCCCUGCAGCCUGGACGGGGCACUGCUCCUGUCUGCAGGGCUCAGGCCCGCUGCUGGCCCUCUGUGUGUCCUCUGUGUGUCCCCGUGAGGGUGGCGUGCCCACCUCCUCGCUGACCCGCAGCCCAGAAUGAACACUCAUCGUGCGGAGACUAAGCGAGGUGCUCCAAUCCGCAGAGCUCGGGCGCUGCAUUCCGUCUCCGAGUCAGCAUGCCUGCUCAUGCGUCAGCGCCUUUGGCCAUGCUGUUCCCUCUCCCGGGCAUGCCCUUCCCUUCCGCUUCUGCUCAAGAACUUCUAUCAGCAGGCUCAGCCCACGUGCCUCCUCUGCUGUGGUCCUUCCCUCAGCACCCCCCAGACAGCUAACCCUCCCCUGCCACCCCCUGUCCUGUGGGUAUGGCAGCGAGGGAGCGAAGCAUGAAGCAGUGCGAAGUAGUGGGAGGCAGCAUGCAACAGCAUGGAGCAGCAUGGAACAGACACGGAAGAGUACGGAGCAUCCUGGAACACCACAGAGCAGCUGGGGGCAGCAUGGAACAGCAUGAAGCAGACUUGGAACAGCACGGACAGCUUGGAGCCGCCUAGGUCCUUGGCGCUCACAAUAGGGAGCAUCGUGUAGGGUGGUGAGUAAUCUCCUCCUUGAGAUUUCUGGGGUACAGAACUACCUUUCAGCUCUGAGCCCUCUCCCUGACUUGGUAUUGUGUGUCAUCUGCCCAGCGGCCUCUGCGCUGAGAAGUGGGAGGAAGAGCCCAGUAGCCUGAGUGAGGCGCUCUGAAGACCGUGGCUUCCAGAGCGUGGGUCUCUCCGGACUCUGCAGAAUCCCAAGAGCCCCUCCCGAGGCGCGCACACUGGCCCUCGCACGGCUCAGCGCCGCGCCGUAGGGUGCUGGCCGAGUUCUCCUGACCAGCGGGGCAGGGGGGGAGCGAGGUCAGUGCGAGCCUCAGCCCGUCCACGUGCUGACGGUCCACGCGGUCAGCGUGCACACCCGAGGCCACGGCAGCGCCAGAUGCAUGUCAACAGGAAAAGCGCUCUGCUGUUCCCCACCCCCCGCCCCCUGUACUCAAGGUUGUGUUCGCCAACGGCUGCAUUGAAGAUUAAAGCCAUGUCCUUUUCAAUUAUUCUGUCAGAAUUUCCUGUUCAAUGUGGGAAUUUUUU
ensembl:lncRNA